AGAGGUCUACUAUAUAGAAUUGAAAGAAAAAAUAACUAAUCACUAAAUUCUGAAGAGAAUAGCCAAGUGGUGUCCAAAAGAGGCUCACAAUUCUUAUUCCUUACUACAUUAGGCUAACUGUUAUAUAACGCCUCUAAUCAGCGCUUGCCUUAUUCCAGAUAGAGAAAAAAGCUCCUAAGAUCAAAUAAACUAAAUUAAUCUAACUUAAUUAGUGGGAAAAGAAGGGGAUAAUGAAAUAAUGUUCAGGCAUAGCUUAAAUCUUUGUCAUAGGGCUCUUUAGUGUGUCCAAAAGUUCCUAUCUCAAAUCUACUUUUAGAUCCUAGAAUAAUAUAAAUUAUUACUCUGCUGAAAGUACAUGAAAAUCUACUAAAAAUCUUUGUCAACACGUACCUUCUCCUAUAGUUUAUGGAAGUGCCUGAUGCUUUCCAAGUCUGGGCCGAGCCUUAGUAGAGGGUCCCAUCUGCUACUCAUUUGCUUAGGGAGGAUGUGCAACAUGGAAGGGACUUACACUUUGGCUUCUAGAAAGAGUUGCAAAGGGCCCAGAUGUUGCUAUCCAGGGAAAAUUUUGGUUAAUGACUCUUUUUCCCCGGUAAGGUGGCAUUUGGGUGAUGCUUGUACCAGAGAGUCAUACUUUUAAGAAUUAGAAAAGCAUGAUCUAAAAUAAGAAAAAAGGUUUGCUUUCUGUAUUUGAUUUUGUGAUAUAAAACAUGAAAAGAGUUUCCUUUCUGUGUUUGAUUUUAUGAUUAAUGUAAGUGCCAGUAGCAUUAUCUGUUUAUUUCAAAUUGGAUAUUGU
rnacentral:lncRNA from 1 species